AGGCUUGCAGCAGUUAUGACAACAAUUGUGGGGUUUUGUGUUGCAAUCAUGACUAUUUAAGCUUUUGGCUUAGGUUCCAUUUUUGCUCUUGGUUCAAAGGUGGAAAAAUUGGUUUUGCCCAUAAAAAUGUUUAUUUACACCUUGGAACCAGGGGUGAAAUUGACACAUCGGCAAAAAAAUUAAAUUUGCAUGAUUGCAAUGUGAAAUCCCACGAUUGCUGUCAUAACUGCUGCAAGGC
rnacentral:pre_miRNA from 1 species